UCCCCUAGUAACUGCGAGUGAAGCGGGAAGAGCUCAAAUUUAAAAUCUGGCAGCUCCUCGAGCUGUCCGAGUUGUAAUCUAGAGAAGUGCUUUCCGCGCUGGACCGUGUACAAGUCUCUUGGAAUGGAGCGUCAUAGAGGGUGAGAAUCCCGUCUUUGACACGGACCACCAGUGCUGCUGUGAUGCACUCUCAAAGAGUCGAGUUGUUUGGGAAUGCAGCUCAAAAUGGGUGGUAAAUUCCAUCUAAAGCUAAAUAUAGGCGAGAGACCGAUAGCGAACAAGUACCGUGAGGGAAAGAUGAAAAGAACUUUGAAAAGAGAGUUAAACAGUACGUGAAAUUGUUGAAAGGGAAACGUUUCAAGUCAGUCGCGUCGGCUGGUAAUCAACCUUUGCAAUCUUGCUGGGCUUACUUUCCAGUCGACGGGUCAGCAUCAAUUUUGACUGUCAGAUAAAGGCAUGGGGAAUGUGGCAUCUUCGGAUGUGUUAUAGCCCCUUGUCAGAUGUGAUGGUUGGGAUUGAGGAACUCAGCAUGCCUUUACUGGUCGGGGCCCACAAGCCCACGUAACAUGCUCAGGAUGCUGGCAUAAUGGCUUGAACCGACCCGUCUUGAAACACGGACCAAGGAGUCUAACAUGCCUGCGAGUGUUUGGGUGGAAAACCCGAGCGCGAAGUGAAAGUGAAUGUUGUUGGGAUCCCUGUCGUGGGGAGCACCGACGCCCGGACCAGACCUUCUGUGACGGAUCCGCGGUUGA
rnacentral:rRNA from 1 species